rnacentral:rRNA from 1 species
UACGAAGGGAGCUAGCGUUGUUCGGAAUUACUGGGCGUAAAGGGCUCGUAGGCGGCCAACUAAGUCAGACGUGAAAUCCCCAGGCUCAACCUGGGAACUGCGUCUGAUACUGGUUGGCUUGAAUCCGGGAGAGGGAUGCAGAAUUCCAGGUGUAGCGGUGAAAUGCGUAGAUAUCUGGAGGAAUACCGGUGGCGAAGGCGGCAUCCUGGACCGGCAUUGACGCUGAGGAGCGAAAGCUAGGGGAGCAAACGGG